UGUGUGUAUGUGUAUGUGUGUGAGGAUGGUGUGUAUGUGUAUGUGCUGAAGUAAAUAUGACUGAACAAUAAGAAUCGUCGAUCUGGUUGUUUGGUACAUGAGUAUUCAUCUUAUUUCUUUUUCACUUUUUCUGUGCAUUUGAAAGCUUUCAUAGGAAGUCAGAAAAUGUAUCUGGUUGUUAAAACAAUAUUGUAACGUACACACACAGUCCAUUUCCAGUCCCAGAAUUGAGACAGUUAGUGCAGAGGCCACUGGCUCAGCUGUGGAAACCAGACUGCACGGUCCAUCUGCACCCAUGCUGUCUGUGAGCCCUGGGAAUGUCGCUUCCUGUCUCUGGGCCUCAGUUUCCUUCUCUAUAAAAUGGGCUGAUGCUGUUCCUGCCACAGAGGCUGGUGGGAUUCAGGCCACAUACCCCGGCACAUCAGCGUUCCGUUGUUACACAUUUGAAUACUCCCAAGCCAGUUGGUAAACAGUUGACUCUCCGGGACCCCUUGCACGUUUCCACGACUCAGCAAUCAACGUGGAGCUGAACUGGCUGUGAAGCGUUUUGAGCACUGCCCGUGUUUGUCUCACAGCCCUCACGGGAAUCCCGGUUAAUAUACUCAAUGAGCGGAGCCCUGAAAACCCCGCCUGCCACCUCGUGCAGCUGUGUCACUGGGAUGGACACAGGAAGCAAUGUGGGGUCUUUGCUGCCAGUGAGCUCCCGGUCUAGGAGAAGAGAGAGGAAGCAUCUUUAUCUGUGUUAUCCCAGAGAUGGGUUUUCACCAUUGUCUCGUCUGGUCUUGAACGCCUGAGCUCAAGCCAUUCGCCUGCCUCGGCCUCUCAAAGUGCUGGGAUUACAGGCAUAAGCCACCAUGCCUGGCCUCAAAAGAAUUAAAACGGUUAAUGAGUUAAAACAAGAUUAAGUCUGUACAUUAUAUAAUGUAGAAGCUUCUGUGGAAAACUCCCCAGCCCUAUGUGGACGACAUCACAUCUGAUUUAUCCUUGUGGUCUACACCGCUGGGUGCUCAGCCUUCUCCUGAGAGAUGCUGUGAAACUUCUCUACCACCUGGAACAGGAGAAGGGAGGCCCAUGUGGGGGCAGAGACCUCUGUCCAGAGUCCAGUGGCAGCUGGUAAGGAUUUUUCAUGCAAGGAAUAGCUUAGAAGAGACAACAGUUAUUGGCUGAUUUUGAUGAAGGAUUAAAAUUAAAAUAUCUCAGCCACUUCCUACUCAAUGUAUCCUAUACAUUUUCUUGUUAAUCUAACAUGCAGUUUACUUUCUGGGUGAUAGCUCAUUAGUUCAGAGGAGAAUUGCUAGUUAUGGGAGAUACUACUUCCUGUUGAGUAGGGCAACUAGCUCUGCGAUAGCUUUUAUUGGACUGCUCAUAUUUUGAAAUACAAUGUUGUUUUACUAAUCGUUGUUUAUUCAACAUCCUUGAACACUGGCUUUAUGUGAGAUAAACUUAAGAAUCAGGGUUUAAUCAUAGUUUUCUUAGUUGUCAAUUCCAAUUCAAGCUGAGUCCAGGAAGAGGCUCCGCUGCUUCCAAAUGCUAGCACACUGCCCUCUUGUGGGAGACCCUGAACACUGCAGAGCUUUACACUUCGAAUCUCAUCUAGUGAAUCUAAUUUCAUUUCCCCGAAGCCAAACAUAUCCUUAGGCAGCAAAUAUAAAAUAUGUUUUACUUUACAAAGUCUGUUAGCCCUUCAUAGCUCCUUCGUAAUGCAUAAAUCUGUAAAACGUUUGCUUGGUGUCAAUUACUUAAUUCAAAUAAGGAAUUCCUGUACAAUCUCUUCAUGGUUAUUAUGGUGAAAGCUGGUUGGUGCUCUAGAACUGAAUAUGUGCAGAGAAUUGUUAAACUCAAAAGCCAGUUUCCCAUCUCACCUCUGGAAGCCUCAAUUCGUCAUGUUUCAAAUGGAGAUGGCCUGAGGGCAUUUCAUAGGGAAAUGGCUGGAUCGGUUUAGGAGCCCAAACGCUGCUAGAAUUUUGUUUUUUCUGGAAUGCCUUAUGAAAUCGCCUUCUUCUUUGAUACAGUUAAAAUAGGCUGUUAUUAGAGCUA
rnacentral:lncRNA from 1 species